UAUUAUUUUGGAGUGUUAAUUUUUGUGCCUGAGUAGUAUUAGUUAUGUUCUUGAAACUUAAAGAAUUUGGCGGUAUCUUAUUCCAUCCAGAGGAAUCUGUCUCGUUAUCGAUAGUCCGCGUUGGACCUUACUUAGUUGCUUUGGUUUGUAUACCGCCGUUUAUUGAUUAUCUUUUUAGAGGUUGUUUAAUUUUCUGGUUUCUUUAUUGUUGAUUUAUUUCAGGUCAAGGUGCAGCUUGUUUCUAAGUGGAAUGAUGGAUUACAUUAUUAUUUGUUUGUUUGGAUUGUUGAUUUUAAUAUUGGUAUGAAAUUGGAUUUGGUUGUAAUGUUUUGUAGAUUGUUUUCAUGAUAAUUGGUUCUGGGAUAUGUACACAUCGCCCGUCGCUCUCGUUUGUUGUUAAUGAG
rnacentral:rRNA from 1 species